rnacentral:rRNA from 1 species
CUGCCCUGACGAGGGGGAUAACCGUUGGAAACGACGGCUAAUACCGCAUAAUGUCUUGAUUCGUUAGAGUCAGGACCAAAGGUGGCCUCUACAUGUAAGCUAUCGCGUUGGGAUGGGCCCAGUUAGGAUUAGCUAGUUGGUAAGGUAAUGGCUUACCAAGGCAACGAUCCUUAGCUGGUUUGAGAGGAUGAUCAGCCACACUGGGACUGAGACACGGCCCAGACUCCUACGGGAGGCAGCAGUGGGGAAUAUUGCACAAUGGGGGAGACCCUGAUGCAGCCAUGCCGCGUGUGUGAAGAAGGCCUUCGGGUUGUAAAGCACUUUCAGCAGUGAGGAAGGUCGUGUACUUAAUACGUGCACGGCUUGACGUUAGCUGCAGAAGAAGCACCGGCUAACUCCGUGCCAGCAGCCGCGGUAAUACGGAGGGUGCGAGCGUUAAUCGGAAUUACUGGGCGUAAAGCGCAUGCAGGCGGUUUGUUAAGUCAGAUGUGAAAGCCCGGGGCUCAACCUCGGAACCGCAUUUGAAACUGGCAGGCUAGAGUCUUGUAGAGGGGGGUAGAAUUUCAGGUGUAGCGGUGAAAUGCGUAGAGAUCUGAAGGAAUACCAGUGGCGAAGGCGGCCCCCUGGACAAAGACUGACGCUCAGAUGCGAAAGCGUGGGUAGCAAACAGGAUUAGAUACCCUGGUAGUCCACGCCGUAAACGCUGUCUACUUGGAGGUUGAGGUUUUAGACUUUGGCUUUCGGCGCUAACGCAUUAAGUAGACCGCCUGGGGAGUACGGCCGCAAGGUUAAAACUCAAAUGAAUUGACGGGGGCCCGCACAAGCGGUGGAGCAUGUGGUUUAAUUCGAUGCAACGCGAAGAACCUUACCUACUCUUGACAUCCAGCGAAGCCUUUAGAGAUAGAGGCGUGCCUUCGGGAGCGCUGAGACAGGUGCUGCAUGGCUGUCGUCAGCUCGUGUUGUGAAAUGUUGGGUUAAGUCCCGCAACGAGCGCAACCCUUAUCCUUGUUUGCCAGCACGUAAUGGUGGGAACUCCAGGGAGACUGCCGGUGAUAAACCGGAGGAAGGUGGGGACGACGUCAAGUCAUCAUGGCCCUUACGAGUAGGGCUACACACGUGCUACAAUGGCAGAUACAGAGGGCAGCGAGACAGCGAUGUUUAGCGAAUCCCUUAAAGUUUGUCGUAGUCCGGAUUGGAGUCUGCAACUCGACUCCAUGAAGUCGGAAUCGCUAGUAAUCGUGGAUCAGAAUGCCACGGUGAAUACGUUCCCGGGCCUUGUACACACCGCCCGUCACACCAUGGGAGUGGGCUGCACCAGAAGUAGAUAG